AGAGUUUGAUCCUGGCUCAGGAUGAACGCUGGCGGCGUGCCUAACACAUGCAAGUCGAGCGCGUCUGAUUUGAUGCUUGCAUUAAUGAAAGAUGAGCGGCGGACGGGUGAGUAACGCGUGGGUAACUUGCCCUAUACACAUGGAUAACAUACUGAAAAGUUUACUAAUACAUGAUAAUAUAUAUUUACGGCAUCGUAGAUAUAUCAAAGUGUUAGCGGUAUAGGAUGGACCCGCGUCUGAUUAGCUAGUUGGUGAGAUAACUGCCCACCAAGGCGACGAUCAGUAGCCGACCUGAGAGGGUGAUCGGCCACAUUGGAACUGAGACACGGUCCAAACUCCUACGGGAGGCAGCAGUGGGGAAUAUUGCACAAUGGGCGCAAGCCUGAUGCAGCAACGCCGCGUGAACGAUGAAGGUCUUCGGAUCGUAAGGGGUUCUGUUGCAGG
rnacentral:rRNA from 2 species